UUCUAUGGAAACGGGGCGCGCGCCCCCGCGGUCAAUGCCCGAGGCAGCCUGAGCGCGGCUGGGGCUCGGAAAGCGCCAAGCAGGCAGGGACCGAGAGGGGUGAUGGCGCGCCCACCCCUGCAGAGCCGCCUGCGCGGUUGUCCCGCGCGUCCCUGCCGGCGAAGGCUGUGAGAAGCACCGCGGGGCUACGGCGCCUCCAUCCUCUCUAACAGCCGCGCUUACCAGACAGCCAGCCUCCAGCGCUGCUAGGCUACUCCGAGCAGGGGAGAAAAGACGCCGGUCCGCCGGGGACCAGGAGGGAGACGUGAAACCAGAGGCCCGGGGGCCCCCUCUCCGCCUGUGCGACUUGUAGUCUCGUACCAGACGCGUCCGCUUCACUGCUGAAUCUGAAAACGUGGGCUCUUGAGAGCUGCCCUUGGAAGGAGCUGUGCUUUCUGCCUCAUCUUUAACUUUUCGUUUAUUCAGCAAAUAUGUAUCAAGUUCCGACUUCGUGGAAGAGAUUGUGUUAGACACUGGGAGUAAUAGAAACAUAAUUAAGAAGCAGGGGUCCCGGACCUGAAGGGCCUGAGCGUCGGGAAUUGGCUGAAGUAAUUAUGUAGGCCGAGAAGUCCCAGAAUCUGCAGUUCACAAGCUGGAGACCCAGGAGAGCCAAUAUGUCAUUUCAGUUCAAGUCCAAAGGCUGGAGAACCAGAAGAGCUGAUGGUUUAUUUCCUGUCUGAAAGCAAACAGGGUGGAGACCCAAGGAAAACAGAUGACUGAGUCCUACUGGGAAGGCUAGAAAAGAUGACGUCCCAAGUCAAUCAGUCUGUUCUGAAGGCUGAGAAGUUCAAGAGCAAGUGCUGGCAUCUGAUGAGGGCCUUCUUGCUGUAUCAUCCUACGGUGGAAGGGUUUCACUGUAUCUCCCAGGCUGGAAUAUAGUGGAGAUCAUGGCUCACUGCAACCUUGACCUCCUGGGCUCAAGCGGUCUUCACACCUCAGCCUCCCCAGUAGCUGAUCCUACAGGUUCUUUCAAACUGGGAAAGCUCAUUAAAAGAAAAAUGAGAAAAUCUAUUGGCUGGAUCCUGAACCCUUGGAAGCUCUGUCUGGAUACAUUCUUCUCUGGCAGGAUGCUCUAUGUGGCUCUUUCCAUGUGUAGUUUCCAAUGAAACAGGAAGGACUCUAAUUGAGUGCCUGCCCACAUCUCUACAGCUCCACACCUUCCACUAAGGGCACAAUAAGACCUCCACUGUGAGAGGCUCCACAGUGUACUACGUUGGUGGUGAGAAAAGGAUUGGGGGAGAGGGGAGGAGAAGAACAGGGAAAGAAAAGCAGUGGUUGGAAGUCAGGCUUCGAUUCUUUACAGGAAAACAUGGUUAUGGCUGUCAAUAAUGGAAUGAGCCACUGGGAGAAGUGUGAUCCUCUCCCAUUGGUUGCCUGGAGAAGGAAUGGGGAAAAUUAUUAUUAUUGUUUAUAUUAAUUGUUAACAUAAAGGAGCAUUAGGAAAUUUUGGGGGGUUCACUUUUUUUUUAGAUGGAGUCUUGCUAUGUUGCCCAGGCUGGUCUUGAAUUCAUGAGCUCAAGUGACCCUCCC
rnacentral:lncRNA from 1 species